GGUAGGCCGGGCCGGAGGGGCUUAGAAGGUAAUAGCAGCGUGAGUUCUUCACUCGCAACUUUCUAGGCGGGGGGCCUCUACCCUUCCUCCGCAGACCGCGCUGUUCUCUCGUUUCCUGCCUUGCUCCCACUGCCGACUCCACGCCGCUCCUCCGGAGAAAGUGCGGGCCUCCCCUCCGGCCCGACGCCAGGCUCCUCCUGCGCGAUCCCACCUGCGCGAAGGAGGCGAGAACGCGCGCAGCGCUCCUCUCAGCAUUACUCUCCGCAGCUUCUUUGGCUGCUCUUAAUAACACACCUUGAUUGAGCACCUUAUGAUGAGUCAAGUUACGUUUCAGCAACCAUGACCUGAGAAUCUAUGUCUUUCACACAUUUUGCCUGGUACCUUGCCUUUGACUGUCACUGGUGUGGACCAAGCUUUUCACCUCUCAGCUCUGGGACUCAGUAGUCAUAUAUGGAUGUGAGAGUUGGACUAUAAAGAAAGCUGAACACCGAAGAAUUGGUGCUUUUGAACUGUGGUGUUGGAGAAGACUCUUGAGAGUCCCUUGGACUGCAAGGAGAUCCAACCAGUCCAUCCUAAAGGAAAUCAGUCUUGGGUGUUCAUUGGAAGGACUGAUGCUGAAGCUGAAACUGCAAUACUCUGGCCACCUGAUUCGAAGAGCUGACUCAUUUGAAAAGAUCCUGAUGGUGGGAAAGAUUGAGGGCGGGAGGAGAAGGGAUGACAGAGGAUGAGAUGGUUGGAUGGCAUCACCGACUUGAUGGACAUGGGUUUGGGUAAACUCUGGGAGUUGGUGAUGGACAGGGAGGCCUGGCUUGCUGCGGUUCAUGGGGUUGCAGAGUCGGAUACGACUGAGCGACUGAGCUGAACUUUCCAUCAGUAAAAAUCAUAUUUGUGACUUGCAUACUUUAUUGGG
ensembl:lncRNA